rnacentral:rRNA from 1 species
GACGAACGCUGGCGGCGUGCUUAACACAUGCAAGUCGAGCGGUAAGGCCCCUUCGGGGGUACACGAGCGGCGAACGGGUGAGUAACACGUGAGCAACCUACCCUUCACUUCGGGAUAAGCCUCGGAAACGGGGUCUAAUACCGGAUAUCACCAGUUUCCUCAUGGUUUCUGGUUGAAAGUUCUGGCGGUGGGGGAUGGGCUCGCGGCCUAUCAGCUUGUUGGUGGGGUAAUGGCCUACCAAGGCGUCGACGGGUAGCCGGCCUGAGAGGGCGACCGGCCACACUGGGACUGAGACACGGCCCAGACUCCUACGGGAGGCAGCAGUGGGGAAUAUUGCGCAAGUGGACGAAAGUCUGACGCAGCAACGCCGCGUGAGGGAUGACGGCC